GAAGAAAAAUUGACCUUCUGGUACAACGUAAACAAAGGCUAUUCGCCGUGAGUAUACCCUUUUCUGUGUGGAGUAACUGGCAAAAGUUAACUUGUGUAACUAUUGGAAACCUCCAGGAGAAGGAGGGCGGCCCUACCCCUAUAAGAGUGUGGUGGGCGAGCCGUGAGAAGUCAAACUUCAAACAGCCGCCGCAACGAGACUUAUUGUGGUCGUAUUUCCCAUCGCCUUAUCGUAGCCCAAGCGCAGUGGAGGACACCGGGCGCUUCCCUUGUUGUGGUGCACUUAUAGUGUGGUGAGUGAGACUGUGUAAUAAAUCUUUUUCACGUUUGGAGUGGUGCUGUGUAUUGCUGUGGGUUGCUGUGUGUCUUGUAGACGAAGCCCCGCAUCAUCCAUUUUCUUCCACUGGGCAGAGGACGGAGAGGCCAACGACUACAGAAAUCACUGUUAUUAUACGUAGUGUGCUGUUUGGAGUACGAAGGGACACAGACUGAGAGCUGUCCGUGACCGUGAGUAAACCAUUGGAAACUUUCGUGGUGUAUACUUACCUGUGUCUGUUUUGUCGCAGAGUCAGAGGCGAAAGGGUCCGCCGCCCCGUGGUCUCUACGAAAAGGGCGCCCCCGUCUAGGAAUCGAUCGGCCUAUGGGCAUUGGAGAUAGGGCAGCGCUCGACCCGGUGAGGUGGUGUGGGACCUUUUCGCCCCUCUGCUGACCUACGGAGGAGAACCAUAACUACCCAGAAAGCUGUAAACAGCAGAGCCGCGGCCACCUGUGGAGAGAGAGAGAACGAGAGUGAAUCAUUGAAGAGCAAACUGUGAACGUGAUACCUACCCAGAACGCUGUAAACAGCAGAGCCGGUGAGAAAUACUCGAAGUUUCAGUAACAGUGUCUUUGGGUCCUAGCGGCCACCUGUGGAGAGAGAACAGGACGAGAGUGAAUCAUUGAAGAGCAAACUGUGAACGUGAUACCUACCCAGAGAGCUGUAAGCAGCAGAACCGGUGAGCAAUACCCGAAGUCCAAGUAACAGUGUCAUUUGUGUCCUAGUGGCCGCCUGUGGAGAGCAAGGAGAAACAAUUGGAGAACAGACUGUGUAACGUGAUACCUACCCAGAGAGCUGCAAGCAGCAGAGCCGGUGAGAAACACCUCAAGUGCAAACUAACAGUGCUUUUGUGUCGCAGUGACUAUCUGUGGGGCACAAGGCGAACGUGGGCGGACGUACGACAGGGAACGUAAGGGCACGUGGGGCGAGGACCCCCUGCCGACCCGAGGAAAGAUACACCGACAGUGGAGAUCCUCCUUACCAGUCACACCAAAAUUAUUCUGCCUCCAGGACGGAAGAAGGAGGGCGCCACGGUUAGCAGGGUCCAGGCCGGAGCCUGACGUUUCCCUUUCUCCCCCGGCUUAUGGUGGUUGGCACCCCUGUUGCCCUUGGCCUGUCUGCCCGUGGCUGCAGUCUCCCUGGAGGGAGACGAAGAGACCUAUUAGUUUUAAAUUCCCCUUUCCCCCAAAUUCCCAGUUCUUUUAGAUAUUUAAACUAAAUAAAGCUUGUUUUAAAUUUUA